AACGAACGCUGGCGGCAUGCCUAACACAUGCCAGUCGAACGAGACCUUCGGGUCUAGUGGCGCACGGGUGCGUAACGCGUGGGAACUUGCCCUUAGGUUCGGAAUAACUCCCCGAAAGGGGUGCUAAUACCGGAUAAUGUCUUCGGACCAAAGAUUUAUCGCCUUUGGAUGGGCCCGCGUUGGAUUAGCUAGUUGGUAGGGUAAAAGCCUACCAAGGCGACGAUCCAUAGCUGGUCUGAGAGGAUGAUCAGCCACACUGGGACUGAGACACGGCCCAGACUCCUACGGGAGGCAGCAGUGGGGAAUAUUGGACAAUGGGCGAAAGCCUGAUCCAGCAAUGCCGCGUGAGUGAUGAAGGCCUUAGGGUUGUAAAGCUCUUUUACCCGGGAUGAUAAUGACAGUACCGGGAGAAUAAGCUCCGGCUAACUCCGUG
rnacentral:rRNA from 1 species